UGACCUGCCCGUACCCUAAACCGACUCAGGUGGUCAGGUAGAGUAUACCGAGGCGUUCGAGUGAAUCGUGGUUAAGGAACUCGGCAAAAUUCCUCCGUAACUUCGGGAUAAGGAGGACCCCGUGACUUGCUCCCACCGUGCGUGGGUGUUGGGUUGUGGGGUCGCAGAGAAUAGGGAGAAGCGACUGUUUAUCAAAAACACAGGUGCGUGCGAAGCCGUAAGGCGAUGUAUACGCACUGACGCCUGCCCGGUGCUGGAAGGUUAAGAGGAACCGUUAACAUUCUUUAUGGGUGUGAAGCGGUGAAUUUAAGCCCCAGUAAACGGCGGUGGUAACUAUAACCAUCCUAAGGUAGCGAAAUUCCUUGUCGGGUAAGUUCCGACCUGCACGAAUGGCGUAACGACUUCUCCGCUGUCUCGACCGUGAACUCGGCGAAAUUGCAGUACGAGUAAAGAUGCUCGUUUCGCGCAGAAGGACGGAAAGACCCCGGGACCUUUACUAUAGCUUGGUAUUGGUGUUCGCUUGUGCUUGUGUAGGAUAGGUGGGAGACUGUGAAGCUGCGGCGCCAGCCGUGGUGGAGUCGUCGUUGAAAUACCAUUCUGGUUCAAGCGGUCACCUCAACCUUGGCCCGUGAUCCGGGUUGGGGACAGUGCCUGGUGGGUAGUUUAACUGGGGCGGUUGCCUCCUAAAAUGUAACGGAGGCGCUCAAAGGUUCCCUCAGCCUGGUUGGUAAUCAGGUGGCGAGUGCAAGUGUACAAGGGAGCUUGACUGUGAGACCGACGGGUCGAGCAGGUGCGAAAGCAGGAACUAGUGAUCCGGCCAUGGCACGUGGGUGCGUGGUCGCUCAACGGAUAAAAGGUACCCCGGGGAUAACAGGCUGAUCUUGCCCAAGAGUCCAUAUCGACGGCAUGGUUUGGCACCUCGAUGUCGGCUCGUCGCAUCCUGGGGCUGGAGUUGGUCCCAAGGGUUGGGCUGUUCGCCCAUUAAAGCGGUACGCGAGCUGGGUUCAGAACGUCGUGAGACAGUUCGGUCCCUAUCCUCUGUGCGCGCAGGAAAUUUGAGGAGGGCCGUCCCUAGUACGAGAGGACCGGGAUGGACGAACCUCUGGUGUGCCAGUUGUACCGCCAGGUGCAUGGCUGGUUAGCUACGUUCGGAAGGGAUAACCGCUGAAAGCAUCUAAGCGGGAAGCCUGCUCCAAGAUGAGGUUUCCACGCCCCCCGUGGGUGAGAGGCCCCCGCCAGACGAGCGGGUUGAUAGGCCAGAGGUGGAAGCACCGCGAGGUGCUCGUGAGCCGACUGGUACUAAUGGGCCAACACUAAACAAA
rnacentral:rRNA from 1 species